AUGCCAUUGCUAGAAACAGCCCAUGUUAGCCUUAAAGAUGGAUGCCAUGAUUUCUGUCGCAAGAACAGGCGUAAUUGUGAUGAUCCUUGCUGUGGUUGUCAUGCCUAUCCUAUCAACGAGGCGGUGCUUCUCAAUGGUUUGUCCAAUGCUGUCAAGUUGGACUUGAUUGCUUUACCUAAAAUGUUUCUCUACAGAUGGGAUUUGAAAUGGUGCCGCGUCUUUGGCAAAUUAAAGACUCUGUUACUCAAUGAGUGGUUUACAACUGUUGACCUUGUUUGCAUUCUCCGACACUCUCCAGUUCUUGAGAUACUCACUCUUCAGCUUGAUAACACCGAGAACAUUGUAGGAGCAACAGGGGCCCAAGAAACAAUAACACAAUCAUUUGUGUGUGAACGCCUAAAGUUCGUUUAUAUUGAAUGUGAAAAGGUUGAUGAGGGUGUUCGUUCAAUCUUGAGUAUCUUAAGUACAUGCGGCAUACUUCGUGAGCAAAUUAGCAUCAAGGAGGAUCCAUGUUCGGACUCAGAUUGA
rnacentral:rRNA from 1 species